AAGUUUGACACUAGAGAGUUCAAAAAUCAUCUCGAAUGAGAGAAAAUGCUUUACCAUUUGAUUUUAUAUACAGUGGUGAUUGUUUGCUUACUUCCCAUUAUUUAUGGAAAUGACAUGUGCAAUAAUUGCACAAAAGAUGAAGAUUGCGCAAAUGUAUGCCAAAAUCAAAGUAAACAUGCAAUACUUAAAAGAAGGCCUGGGGAUUCAUGUAUCCGUGAUGUCGACUGUGCCUUCCAUCACUGUCAUGGCGAUUCAGAAAGACCGAUUUGCUCCUCACAUGGCCACUGUGAUUGCUCACAUAACUACUGUACAACGGAUGGAGAUUGUUCACAUCAGCACUGUCAUGACUCCAAACCAUACUGUACCCAAAACCACCGGUGUAAUUGUGCAUCUUGCACGGUAGACAGUGAUUGUUACUUUAACUGUCAUCACCAAGAGAUAAAUGUCUGUGUCCACCACCAAUGUGAAUGUCACAGAAGUGUUGAUGGUGGAUGGACUGAAUGGACUGCAUGGAGUCACUGUAAUGCCUCUUGUGGAACCGGAAGUAAAGAAAGACAUCGCACAUGCACAAAUCCAGCGCCAUCUGGAUUAGGAUCUUUCUGUAGUGGAUCCAACAAAGAAGAAGCUGGCUGUCAUCAAACAUCUUCUUGCAUAGUUGAUGGAGGAUGGUCAGUUUGGUUAUCAUGGUCCCCUUGUUCUAGUAGCUGUGGUACUGGAGGGUUGAGAACACGUGCACGUACAUGUAACAACCCCGCGCCUUCAAAUAGCGGAAAAAAUUGUUCUGGGAAUGUGUAUGAAAUGCAGGUCUGUCCAACAGUAAACUGUCCAGUGAACGGUGGAUGGAGUUCCUGGGAUGCGUGGGGAACAUGCGAUGUAACUUGUGGAAGGGGUAUACAGAUUCGUACACGAAAUUGUUCCAAUCCGACACCGGCACAUGGAGGCCUUAAAUGUUCUAAUGAUUCGGCUGAAAUGAGAGCAUGCAAUACAAGCUCUUGUGCUGUUGAUGGUCUUUGGUCGAACUGGAUGCCUUGGUCAAAAUGCUCCCAGACCUGCAAUACAGGUGUCAGAACCCGAGCACGUUCUUGUGAUAACCCUGCUCCUUCGAAUGGCGGGAAAAAUUGUAUCGGGGAUCAAUAUGCUAUACAGAUGUGUUCUCUUACUACAUGCCCAGUUAAUGGCAGUUGGACAGACUGGACUUCUUGGUCCACGUGUUCAGCGUCGUGUGGGGGAGGGACACAGAUGCGUUCUCGAAACUGUAGUAACCCUGUCCCUUCCAAUGGUGGAAAAGACUGUGUUGGACAUGGCAAUGAAGGUCGUGCUUGUUCCUCUUCGUUGUGUCCUGUUGAUGGUGGCUGGUCGCAGUGGAUGAAGUGGUCCCCUUGUUCUAGUUCGUGUGGUAAUGGAACAAAAACACGCGCUCGUUCCUGUACUAAUCCAACACCAUUGCAGAGUGGAAAAGACUGCGUUGGAAGUGCUUAUGAAAUGGAACCCUGUUCACAUGAUUGCCCUGUGAACGGUGGAUGGACCCAAUGGGCAACGUGGAGCAAAUGCAGUGUAACGUGUGCAACUGGAAUAGAGACUCGUAAACGAAAUUGUUCUAAUCCGGUGCCAGCACACGGAGGGACGCCGUGUCCCGGAGACUCGAUAGAAAUGAGACAAUGCAAUGCAAGUGCAUGUAGUGUUGAUGGCAAUUGGACAACAUGGAUGCCUUGGUCUCCUUGUUCCAAGACGUGUGGAGAUGGUGUAAGAACGCGUGCGCGUAUGUGCAACAAUCCUGCUCCUUUGUAUGGCGGUAAAGACUGUGUAGGGAGCCCUUACGACAUGCAACCUUGUCCCGUGAUUCCUUGUGCUACUGAUGGUAGCUGGACAGAUUGGACUGCUUGGUCCACCUGUUCUACGUCAUGCGGAGGCGGGACAGAGUCAAGGACGCGAAACUGCAGUAAUCCUGCUCCUUCCGGUGGCGGAAACAAAUGUGUUGGAGAUCAUAAGGAAAGUCGUAAUUGUUCUACAUCACCUUGCAUCGUUGACGGUGCAUGGUCACAAUGGAUGCAAUGGACUAUUUGCUCAAGCACAUGUGGUAACGGAACAAAAACUCGUGCUCGUGCCUGUGAUAGUCCUCCGCCAUCUAAUCACGGGAAAGAUUGUGUUGGAGAUGCAUACGAAACUGAACCCUGUGUUACUGUGUGUGCGGUGGACGGUGGUUGGAGCGCAUGGGGUGCAUGGAAUAAGUGUAGUGUGACAUGUGGAGGAGGCGUAGAAUCUCGGACUAGAAACUGUUCAAAUCCACCACCAGCAAACGGAGGGAAUCAAUGUACCGGAGACUCGUCAGAGGCAAGGACAUGCAAUACAGGCGAUUGUGCUGUUGAUGGAGGGUGGUCCGAUUGGAUGGCUUGGUCUACCUGUAUGACGUCAUGCGGAGAUGGUGUACAGUCACGCGCUCGUUUCUGUACGAAACCAGCCCCUUCUCAUGGGGGCAGAGAUUGUGCUGGCAGUCAGUAUGAAAUGAAAAAUUGUAAUACAGGACCCUGUCCAGUUGUUGUUUGGUCUACAUGGGGAGCCUGGUCUGCCUGUAGUGUAACGUGCGGACGGGGAGUCAGCACACGUAGUCGUAACUGUACCAACAGUGGUGGAACCACUGUAGUCACUGGCCAUUUGUGCAAUGGUUCUGACAAAGAAACCGAGGAAUGCGUUGCCAUCCCAUGUCCAUGUCAUGAUAAAUUGAGCCACUGUGCCCAAGAUAAAGAUACCCUGUGCUCAGACACCAGUUUCCAGCAUUUGUGCCAGCUUACUUGUGGAUUAUGUGUUAUUGAUGGGCUUUGGUCCAAUUGGGAAGCAUGGUCCGCUUGCAGCGCCUCCUGUGGGAAUUCGAGUGUGCGUCAACGUAUCCGUCAUUGUGACAACCCCGCGCCUGUCAACGGGAAACCGUGUGAAGGUUCACACUCUGAGAUUGAAUUCUGCAAUGUAACAGCCUGUCCCGGUAAUGUUAACUUCACAGUAAUUUUGGCAAAUUGGCCCAGAUUGUCCAUCUUGUGAUGAAAACUUGGUAUGCCAAUGGAACGCCACAUGUGAUGUAUCUGAGACCUGUAUGGUUAGGUCAUUCUCGAAUUCAGCCUUCUCGGUUCACUGUUCCAAGAAAGUGGAUUGUGAAUUCGAGAAGACAGCUUUGAAUGCAGGGGAAAUAUUUUGCUGUGAUGAUCGAAUUUGUUUGACAAAUAUACUUGGCGUUUAGAAGCUUGCGUAGUAUUUUCCAUUUUAUACGUUCUGAAAAUAUUGCUUCUUGCAUGUGCGAAGUAGCAAGUAUGUAUUCUCUAGAAUAACUUUAGAAUGAUCCAAACCAAAAAUACUCAUGCUUUUAAAUAUUUUUGUAUUGCCUCUAUUUUUUCUUUUGAACAAUAAAUCAUAUGUUAUGAUUAUUUUUUUCUUUU